rnacentral:rRNA from 1 species
GACGAACGCUGGCGGCGUGCUUAACACAUGCAAGUCGAGCGGUAAGGCCCUUUCGGGGGUACGACGAGCGGCGAACGGGUAGAGUAACACGUGGGUGACCUGCCCUCAGCUCUGGGAUAAGCCUGGGAAACCGGGUCUAAUACUGGAUAUGACUCCAUGACGCAUGUUGUGGGGUGGAAAGCCUUGUGCGGCUGAGGAUGGGCCCGCGGCCUAUCAGCUU